AGAACUGGAGCCAGCGUUGGUUCCCGCAAGGGAUGAAAAGGGAACGCGGUGCGUCUGGCCCCGGCCGGGCAAUGCCGCGACUGUCCCCGCAACUGUAGGCGGCGAGUGCCGGUCCAAACAGGCCACUGGGAAACCGGGAAGGCAGGAUCGGUGCAGCGACCCGCAAGUCAGGAGACCUGCCUGCGCGAGCACGUCCCG
rnacentral:ncRNA from 2 species